rnacentral:rRNA from 1 species
UGCCUUACACAUGCAAGUCGAACGGCAGCACGGGAGCAAUCCUGGUGGCGAGUGGCGAACGGGUGAGUAAUAUAUCGGAACGUGCCCAGUCGUGGGGGAUAACGUAGAGAAAUUUACGCUAAUACCGCAUACGAUCCACGGAUGAAAGCGGGGGACUCCGCAAAGGGCCUCGCGCGACUGGAGCGGCUGAUAUCAGAUUAGGUUGUUGGUGAGGUAAAAGCUCACCAAGCCGACGAUCUGUAGCUGGUUUGAGAGAACGACCAGCCACACUGGGACUGAGACACGGCCCAGACUCCUACGGGAGGCAGCAGCGGGGAAUUUUGGACAAUGGGCGCAAGCCUGAUCCAGCAAUGCCGCGUGCAGGAAGAAGGCCUUCGGGUUGUAAAGCUC